rnacentral:rRNA from 1 species
GACAGAGGGGGCAAGCGUUGCUCGGAAUCACUGGGCGUAAAGGGCGCGUAGGCGGGACGCCAAGUCGGUCGUGAAAUCUCCGGGCUCAACCCGGAGGAGUCGGCCGAAACUGGUGUUCUUGAGGGAGGCAGAGGAGUCUGGAAUUCCCGGUGUAGCGGUGAAAUGUGUAGAGAUCGGGAGGAACACCGGUGGCGAAGGCGGCGUUCUGGACUGCAACUGACACUGAGGAACGAAAGCCAGGGGAGCAAACGGG